UACGUAGGUCCCAAGCGUUAUCCGGAAUUACUGGGCGUAAAGAGUUGCGUAGGUGGCAGAGUAAGUCUGUAGUGAAAGCGUGAGGCUCAACCUCAUAUCCAUUAUGGAAACUACUCAGCUAGAGAACGAGAGAGGUAAUUGGAAUUCCCAGUGUAGGAGUGAAAUCCGUAGAUAUUGGGAGGAACACCGAUGGCGUAGGCAGAUUACUGGCUCGUUUCUGACACUAAGGCACGAAAGCGUGGGUAGCAAACGGG
rnacentral:rRNA from 1 species